GACGAACGCUGGCGGCGUGCUUAACACAUGCAAGUCGAACGGAAAGGCCCUGCUUUUGUUGGGUGCUCGAGUGGCGAACGGGUGAGUAACACGUGAGUAACCUGCCCUUGUCUUUGGGAUAACUUCAGGAAACUGGGGCUAAUACCGGAUAGGAGCUCCUGCUGCAUGGUGGGGGUUGGAAAGUUUCGGCGGUUGGGGAUGGACUCGCGGCUUAUCAGCUUGUUGGUGGGGUAGUGGCUUACCAAGGCUUUGACGGGUAGCCGGCCUGGGAGGGUGACCGGCCACAUUGGGACUGAGAUACGGACCAGACUCCUACGGGAGGCAGCAGUGGGGAAUAUUGCACAAUGGGCGGACGCCUGAUGCAGCAACGCCGCGUGCGGGAUGACGGCCUUCGGGUUGUAAACCGCUUUCGACUGUGACGAAGCGUGAGUGACGGUAAUGGGUAAAGAAGCACCGGCUAACUACGUG
rnacentral:rRNA from 1 species